CAACCACGUUCACCACCACCGGGCCGUUCACAGGGACAUCAAGAGCCCCAACGUGAUGCUCACCGAGAAGGGGAACAUCAAACUCAGUGAGUAAAACUUAUAGUUGUAAGAUGAAUGGAUGGGGGGAAGCUUCUGUGGAUAUAAAGUACAGAGGGUAUCUUAAUACAGGUUUUUAUCUUAUUGCCCUUAAAAUGAAUGAAUUUUCCAUUUAUAUGUUUAAUCUGUCAUUUCAGUCGAUUUCGGACUCUGCUGGGACCUGGACCCACAGACAGGGAAGUGCAACCAGGCUGAUGGGACUGCGCACUGGAUGGCGCCCGAGGCCUUUAGGAGGAGGGACAGGGAACCGGAAUUCGACACCAAAUGUGACAUCUGGUCCCUUGGAAUCACUGCCAUCGAAAUGGCCGAGGGAAAAACACCAUACGCCGAUCAGGAACUAGUGUCGGACCUGAUCAUCAACAACGACCCUCCGAGGCUCAAAUCAAGGACCUGGUGAGUCCUUCCCAGCUCAUGUCACUGUGCGAUGCUGAUACUGCAACUCUGUGUG